UCCGGCUUAUCACCGGCAGUCCCAUUAGAGUGCCCAACUAAAUGAUGGCAACUAAUGGCGAGGGUUGCGCUCGUUGCGGGACUUAACCCAACAUCUCACGACACGAGCCGACGACAGCCAUGCAGCACCUGUGUGGACGCCAGCCGAACUGAAGGACCCGAUCUCUCGAGCCCAUACGUCCCAUGUCAAGGGUUGGUAAGGUUCUGCGCGUUGCUUCGAAUUAAACCACAUGCUCCGCUGCUUGUGCGGGGCCCCGUCAAUUCCUUUGAGUUUUAACCUUGCGGCCGUAGUCCCCAGGCGGUGAACUUAAUGCGUUAGCUGCGGCACUGAUCGGGUCAAUCCGACCAACACCUAGUUCACAACGUUUAGGGCGUGGACUAC
rnacentral:misc_RNA from 1 species